UGCAUGUAUACUAAUGCCAGAAGCCUGAUUAAUAAAACUGGGGAACUGAAAUUAGUAAUUACUGAGGAGGACUGUGACACAGUGGGAGUAACUGAGACUUGGCUGGAUGAUAGCUAUGACGGUGGGAA